CUUUAAUGACCUACUAUUGAAGUUACCUGCGCAUUACGGUGGAUUAAUAUUAUAAAAAAGACAAAAAAUUGAUAAAGUAAUAAUUUUAAAAUUUUUGAGUUGCAAUAAAAUAUCAAUAAAUACAAAUAGUAUGAGAAAAAAAAGUAUAAAAAAAUCUCAUUUUACUCAUUUUUUCUUAUAAAAGCGAUUUGUUCAUAUAACAAUAGACUAUGUGAAUGAAUUUUCUUGUGAAAGCGAUUAGUUCAGAUGACAAUAGACUAUGUGAAUGAACUAAUUAGAAAGUGAACAAGUGAGAAGACGAAACAUCAGACAGAGAUGGGAGGUGGAAAGGUGAAGCACCAAGGAGUGGAAAGGGGAGAGAAGGUAAGGAUGAAAGAGAAAUUGCCAUAUGGCAAACCUAUGGGGAAUAAUGUAUAAGUAUAGAAGUAUAGAAGUAUAGAUUUCAUAGACAAAUCAAUUAAUUUUUGUUGCGUAUAUGUAUGCUUUUGGUGUUACGAAGUAUUUCCUCUUUCAAUCUAUUUCUUUAAUAAUUUUUUUCAUUAGAUAAUAUUAUGCAAUCAACCAAUCAUUUACUCAACUUUAGCGCGACUACUAUCAUCUUAACUGCUCACUCUUUUAUCCAAGUGUUGAAAACCGAAUAGCAUCAAUAACUUGGUGCUAUAAAUACUGAAGUAGCCUA
rnacentral:lncRNA from 1 species